rnacentral:rRNA from 1 species
CUACGUGCCAGCAGCCGCGGUAAUACGGAAGGUCCGGGCGUUAUCCGGAUUUAUUGGGUUUAAAGGGAGCGUAGGCCGGGGAUUAAGUGUGUUGUGAAAUGUAGACGCUCAACGUCUGACUUGCAGCGCAUACUGGUUUCCUUGAGUACGCACAACGUUGGCGGAAUUCGUCGUGUAGCGGUGAAAUGCUUAGAUAUGACGAAGAACUCCGAUUGCGAAGGCAGCUGACGGGAGCGCAACUGACGCUUAAGCUCGAAGGUGCGGGUAUCGAACAGGAUUAGAUACCCUGGUAGUCCGCACAGUAAACGAUGGAUGCCCGCUGUUGGUACCUGGUAUCAGCGGCUAAGCGAAAGCAUUAAGCAUCCCACCUGGGGAGUACGCCGGCAACGGUGAAACUCAAAGGAAUUGACGGGGGCCCGCACAAGCGGAGGAACAUGUGGUUUAAUUCGAUGAUACGCGAGGAACCUUACCCGGGCUUGAAC